CUUAUUACACACAUAUAUGUAAGAAAAAAAAUAUUCGGAUUGUGUAUCUCAUUCUGCAUGCUCUUUGGCUUAGGGAUAAUAGCUCAGUGGUAUAUGCUUGCCCACUAUGCCCCAGGCUCUAGUAGACAAGGUAUAUUUUGAAAAGCUCAUGGUUCCCAUACCAUUAAAAACUCACUUAAAAUUCAUUUCCCUAAGGCUAUGAUAGUGACUUCUUAAACCUUUCCUUUCUACUAGGUGGGCCCUUCCAGUCCCUUCAAAAUACAGUGCCAAGAUCAUGAAAAACACAUGAAAGUUUCAGUGCAGAUUCAGCAGUGGGAUGCCUGGUUUAGGGCUUGGCGGUUUUAAGGCUCUGGAUGCAUAGGGAGGUUUGAAAAGGAAGAGACUAUUAUCACAUCCACUGCCCACGGGGCUAGGCCUCUCUGAUGGGUUCUUUGUUGGUGUGACAGAUCAACAAACAAGAGACUUGCUGUGCGAAUUUGCAUCUCUUUGAUGAAUCUGAGACUGAACUUUUCUCCCUUCUCCCUUCUCUCCCAUCGGAAGGUUAACAGGAUUUCAUUCUGCAUUGAUUACUCAGCCAGACCUGCUGUUAGUGCUCCCACCCAGCCCACCCUUGUGCCCCCCUCCCGCCUUACCACAAUGUGUGUGCGUGGGGGGCAUAGUGACCUCCCACUUAGAACACAGCAGGAUGUGGUUCAAAGGGAGGGCAGAGGACAGAGGGAACCCUAGGAGAGGCAGCGCCAGCACACACUCCGUUAGACAGUGAACCAUUUUGACAUCAUAAAGAGACAACCCCCCGCCCCAGCCUCUGCCAUCUCAACACAGGCUGCAACGGUUUUGAUUGAUUUUUCAGCCUCUUAUGUUUAUUUUUCCUCCCAUAAAAUGGGACGAUCAAAGACCAUCUUUAAUGAGCCAAGAAGUUAUAAUUCAAUAAUGGUGCUCUAAUUAGAGGGUGGCAAAAGCAAGCUCAAGCAGAGAUCAAUGUCAAAAAGAUUCAACCCUUAAACAGUAGGAGCCCACACCAGGGACUCACAAACUGUAGCAUGUGGCACGAGCCCCUGGAGGUAUUAUUAACGACAUAGCAGGACUCCAUCCUGAAGUUCCUGAGGUGGGAAAUCUGGAGCUGGGGCUGUGAGCAUCUCUCACAGGAUCUCAGUGGUUCUAAGCUUGGCUGCAGAGUGGUAUCACCAGGGAGCUUUACAAAGCCCGAGUGAUGCAGACUGGGCAUGGGAUGCACAUCUAACUCCAAUCCUUAGAUGCUCCAGUGAAAUGGCUUAGUACAGAUGCUUACCGAAACCAUGCUACCUGCAGGUCCAUCUCAGCCAAGCUGAUCAGCAUCCGUGCUAUGAACCUUUGCCAGAAGCCAACAGGCACGAAGCUCAUCUUAAAUACCCGCUGGAUGGUGUUAGCCAUUGGGUGCCGCAUGCUGUGGGUGUCCAGCCCAGGUUUGGAUGGAAGGAGGUGUGGUAGUAGGUAGCUGAAACAUAUAAGGGAAGAGGUUGAUUAUCAUGGCCUGAGAUCUGCUACAGGACCCUGGUCCCUGCAGAUGCUGUACUAUGGGACGGUACCAGCUGACAAGGCUCAGCUUGCCAGAGGCCCUCCCUAUAGAGUUCCAAACACUAGACCGAUGUGGAGGGAAGAUGUGGAGGGAAGAUGUAAAGGCAUAAAAAUGCCAGACGCAGCCAUCGAAGUUGCUUCUCGGAAAACUGGGUCGUGGUUGUGAAAUCACUUAACAUCGACUUUGGUUGGUGGAAGAAAACCAAAUACAGCUGCACAGCUUUGAGGACAACGCAGAUACUGGGGUCAGGGUAACUGUCGUUGGUCUUCGAAGCUGUUUAUUGUCCUUGGCUAAUUAAAACAACACAACUGCCUUAAAACUUAGAACUUGGAGACUUCGCAGAAAACAAAUGUUUUAUGGGAACACAAGCACACAUGAUUAUCAUUAAAACAUUGCAUCACUGCGUGA